CUUUAAAAUUGGGUGUAGGGUCUGAUAAACUCAUAUAGUGUUAUGAGUGUUGUCAUCAGCUUCUUCUUUUGUAUCAACAUGUUUGGAGUUAAAUAACAGCACUACAUUU
rnacentral:snoRNA from 1 species